CUACGGGGUGCAGCAGUGGGGAAUAUUGGACAAUGGGCGAAAGCCUGAUCCAGCAAUGCCGCGUGUGCGAUGAAGGCCUGAGGGUUGUAAAGCACUUUCGUUGGGAAAGAAAUGCUCAAAGCUAAUACCUUUGAGAGUUGACGUUACCCAAAGAAGAAGCACCGGCUAACUCUGUGCCAGCAGCCGCGGUAAUACAGAGGGUGCAAGCGUUAAUCGGAGUUACUGGGCGUAAAGGGCGCGUAGGCGGAUACUUAAGUCGGAUGUGAAAUCCCUGGGCUCAACCUAGGAACUGCGUUCGAUACUAAGGGCCUAGAGUAUGGUAGAGGAAAGUGGAAUUCCCGGUGUAGUGGUAAAAUACGUAGAUAUCGGGAGGAACAUCAGUGGCGAAGGCGACUUUCUGGGCCAAUACUGACGCUGAGGCGCGAAAGCGUGGGGAGCAAACAGGAUUAGAUACCCUAGUAGUC
rnacentral:rRNA from 1 species